AAUAUUAAAGUAUAGUUUGAUAUUAGAAUAACUAUUUUAUCACCUGAAAUUUUUAUAUAAUUAGUUUAAAAGCUAUUGUAUGUUUUGAAAACUGUAAAGGUUGGUUUUGUGUGUGAACUGUGUAGCUAGUAUAAAACCAUUGUAUGUUUUGACAAUCAUAAAUAUUAUAUUGGUUUUGUGUGUGAACUGUGUAGCUAGUAUAAAGCUAUUGUAUGUUUUGACAAUCAUAAAUACUGGUUUUGUGUGUGAACUGUGUAGCUAGUAUAAAACCAUUGUAUGUUUUGACAAUCAUAAAUAUUAUAUUGGUUUUGUGUGUGAACUGUGUAGCUAGUAUAAAACCAUUGUAUGUUUUGACAAUCAUAAAUAUUAUAUUGGUUUUGUGUGUGAACUGUGUAGCUAGUAUAAAGCUAUUGUAUGUUUUGAAAAUUGUAAUGGUUGGUAUUGUGUGUGAACUGUGUAGCUAAUAUAAAACCAUUGUAUGUUUUGAAAACUGUAAAAGUUGGUUUUGUGAGUGAACUGUGUAGCUAGUAUAAAACCAUUGUAUGUUUUGAAAACUGUAAAAGUUGGUUUUGUGUGUGAACUGUGUAGCUACUAUAAAACCAUUGUAUGUUUUGAAAAUUGUAAAGGUUGGUUUUGUGUGUGAACUGUGUAGCUAGUAUAAAACCAUUGUAUGUUUUGAAAACUGUAAAAGUUGGUUUUGUGUGUGAACUGUGUAGCUAGUAUAAAACAAUUGUAUGUUUUGAAAACUGUAAAGGUUGGUUUUGUGUGUGAACUGUGUAGCUAGUAUAAAACCAUUGUAUGUUUUGACAAUUGUAAAGGUUGGUUUUGUGUGUGAACUGUGUAAAAUCAUUGUAUGUUUUGAAAAGUCUUCCUAUUCAAACAUUGUUUUUGUAAGCUUAAGCUUGAAAUAGAUUGCAACUCUUCAGUAACAUUAAACUGACAUUUAUCUAAAAUGUUUAAGAGUAUUGUUUAUUACAGUAACGGAUAAUAAUGGUGUAGGUAUCUGUUAUAGUUGGUUUACAGGUAAAGGUUUCUAUUUGACGAACAUUGCGGUAAUUAAUUAAUACUAUCAAAAACAUAAGACUGUGAAACUCGUUAACACCAAACCACUUCAUUGGAUAGAGAUAUUUUCAGCAUUGUUGGUUAUCUUGUGAAAUUUAUGUAGCUAUGUUUGUUGCAUUUAAACAUUUGUUAUACACCUCUUAACUGCUCUAGUAAAGUAGGGUUACCUAACUCAACAUUAAUGUAAGGAAAAAUAAAUUAGAGCACAUUAUAUUUUUCAUGUUUUAAAUUCCUUUCAUGAUAAUCAAAACAGGGGCAAGAAGCUCAAUAUUUUCGUGUAAAGAGAUUAUUAAUUGUUAUACAUAGGUGUAGGUUUGAGGGCUACCUCCGUUUUCACUUGAAGCUGUGUUAUGUGACUAACCCCAGAUUUUGUAUCUGUGGGUUGUUUCUAGGUGUAUUUUCUGUGAUAUAUUGUUUUAUAAACUUGCAAAAAGAGAAAUCUCGUGUUUUUUUUUGUUUUUUUUAUUAUAGUGCACAGUUGAGCUAAGCCUACUGUGGGCUGUGUGAAUUUUACUAAUUUUUGGCAAUAUGAAUCAUUUUCAACACUUGAUUUAUUACUUAACUUGUGAGUCUUCCAUAUAAAACCCUUUUUAUCAUAUGAGCAGAGUGGCCUUAAGUGAGAUUUAAUCCGAACUAGAAUUUCAGAUGUGCAGAAGCACCAUUGCCUUUAAAAAUAUGAAUUAUGCAUGUGUUUUACUUUUAAGCAUAUUUUAGCUAGUCCUUCAAAAAAUCAAAUUAUGCUCUCAGAAAAACUGCCCAUAAGUUGUAAUAUUAUUAUCACAGUUGUUUCAUGAACUUAAGAUAGUGUUGACUGAAAAGGUGAUUUUAAUAAACUGAGUCUGUCUAGAAAGUUUUGGAUGAUGUUUCAAGCUGUUUACUCAGAUCUUCGUCAGUUUAAAGUAAUAAAGAAUUGUUUAAACACGUGUUGAGACCCAUAUUUUUCUAGGGGUAAACAAAGAAAGUGUACUAUUUAGGUAUUUAUAAGCAUGACUGGUUCUGUGUUACUUAAAGUUAGCAUCAUAAUAAAAUUAUGAAUAUUUCUAAAAACUUGUUUUCCGUAUGUAAGAAUGUGUCAUGAUUUGGCUAUGUGGUAUCCUUUUUCAUGUUGAUUAAUUAAGCCUCUGACCAUUUGUCAAGCUACAUUAAUUGUUUCUGAUCAUUUGCAUAAUAGAUAUUUACUCAAACAGUCAAAAAGGAGUUAACCCUAAUCUUUCCAUAAAAAAGCGGAUAUUAAUUGGAAUUAUUAUGCGAUUAUAUCCACAUUUAAAUAUCUGCAGUUUGCUAGGACUAUCUAAUAAGUGACGCCGUCCAUCUUGUUUUUUUAAGAAAUCAAAGUACACUUUGACACCGCAUUUUAUCUGUUUGUAAUUGGUGCAGCUGAAUAAGAUAUGUCAUUUAUAUUUUAUUGUAGUCAUAAUUGUGAUUUAUAUACAUAUUUAAUGGCGACAUCUAGUGAGUAGUGCAUUAUUCACCUUUAAAUAUCGAAUUAAUAAUGAAAAAAAUUGUGUAUUUUGCCCUUGCUUAAGUUUUCUGUUUACACAAUAAAUAUAUGAUAAUUUUAGUUAAUAAAACAUAUACGUGGUUAGAACAAAAACGUAGAGAGAUAAAAAAAGAUAUCAUGCGCAUUUUAUUUUUGUUUCAAAAGAAAUAGUGCAACGAACAAUGUAUUAGUGAGUUGUCUGUAAGUGAAUGAUUAAGUUAACCCUUUUUUUUAUGAGAAAUACUGUUUCAGUGUUUUACAUCUCAAUGCUUUAUGUAAAAGUUAAAUUACAAAGAACCUCCCCCAGAUAAAAUAUAUAUAUAUAUAUAAACAAGUAAUAAAAAGCUUAAUAGUGAUUAUUUUUGUGAGUACGAAACAACUUCAAUUUACAUAAACUUUAUGUUGUUACGAGUUAUUUUUAUAAUAUUUCACUAAAAAGUUCAAUUGAUAUUUAGGACUUUUAUAAAGAUAUUGGAUUUAUAGGACAAUAGUUCACAUUGUUUAUUGUAUAACUUUUGAAUGAUACAUUGAAUUACAUUACCCAUUCUUAAAUAAUGGACCAAAAAAUCCUGCUGUUCGAAUACAUUCAGGUUUUAAGUUUCGUGUUUUUAAUCAAGUGAUUCUAUAAUUAUUUCACAUUUUCGACAUAUUUGCAGGGCAUCUUGGUAAUGAAAAUACUAUCUUUUUGAGUGUUUGUUAUAUAUUAGCAAAAAAACUAAUAUAAGAAUUUUGUAUGCAAUAAAUGAAAAUUUGAUCACAAA